GACGAACGCUGGCGGCGGGCUUAACACAUGCAAGUCGAACGGAAAGGCCCUGCUUUUGUGGGGUGCUCGAGUGGCGAACGGGGGAGUAACACGUGAGUAACCUGCCCUUGACUUUGGGAUAACUUCAGGAAACUGGGGCUAAUACCGUAUAGGAGCUCCUGCUGCAUGGUGGGGGGUGGAAAGUUUCGGCGGUUGGGGAUGGACUCGCGGCUUAUCAGCUUGUUGGUGGGGUAGUGGCUUACCAAGGCUUUGACGGGUCGCCGGCCUGAGAGGGUGACCGGCCACAUUGGGACUGAGAUACGGCCCAGACUCCUACGGGAGGCAGCAGUGGGGAAUAUUGCACAAUGGGCGGAAGCCUGAUGCAGCAACGCCGCGUGCGGGAUGACGGCCUUCGGGUUGUAAACCGCUUUCGCCUGUGACGAAGCGUGAGUGACGGUAAUGGGUAAAGAAGCACCGGCUAACUACGUG
rnacentral:rRNA from 1 species